UAUUGAAGAAGUUCUCUGGGACAGUACGCGGUGGUGGACAAAGCUAUGCUGACCGGCAUUAGAAGAAAGUGAAAGAUACUGCAUGUAUCUUAGACGUCUGUCCCAGGGCUCCCAACGGUCACUGUGGUGUUCUGGCACUCAGUGUCCACUUCACCUGGCGAUUUUCUGAUUACUGUCACAUGCAAUCGGCUCUACUCUACUGUCACUGGCUGCAUGCACCUCCCAGGAGGAGAAUCUCCGUGGUGUCUCCUCUUCCUUGGUGCUCCAGACUCUCCCUGAUGGCCCCUCUCUGGAGCUGGAAGUAUCUUCUUUGGCUCGCUGGCCGCCAAUCUGGAUGAAGCAGUGGCUCCAGAAGUGCUGCACGGGGCCCUGUUUCCUGCUGGCAUUCUCUGCCUCAUCUAAGCCUCACCUCUGCUCCUUGGGCCUGGGCACAACUGUACAAGGGUUUUUUCUUCUCCUUCCUUGGCCAAGUGUUCCAGGAAACCGGAAAAAGUAGAUGAGCAACUUCUCAGAGCUCAGUACUAUUUCUACACACGCUUCCUCAUCCACUCUAUCCUUUGCUGGGUUAUGGAGAAGAAUAGGAAGAAGCUCUGCCAGCUUUUUUUGAGCAAUCUUUAUUGGCUGCUUCUAACCCCAGGAGGUGGGAAAGUGAGGCAGGCAGCCAAAAGCAAAGGAAAAGGCCAAAAUUCAUUAAAUGGCCAAAGCUUUUCUCAUGAGAGCCAUUGUGAAUUUAGGCUUGCAUCAAGAUGUUAAAGCCCUCAAAGGAAGGGCUCUACCCAUUCCAGAGUUUGUAGCCAUCUGUGAAAUUUGAGUCCAGAUCUUGGUUUGGACUUUGAUACCCUGAACAUUUAAAAGAUCAUGGUUGUAGUUUGAGUGCAUUUAUAGUGUAAAGAGUCUUCUGACUGCCAGCUACCUUCAAGAAGUGAGAGACCUGCUGCACUGGUUGAGUAAUGUAAGCUUACAAAAUGAAGACUCACAAAAAAUGAAAUGGCCAGUAAAAAAGAUAAAUAUGCCAUCUGAUACUUCAGGAGAUCAAAGAACUCUAAAAUUCCAGCAAAUUGUGGCGAGUGUUUUGCUUCUGCACUUGUUAACUGAUUGCACAGGAGGAAAGACAAAGGAGAGAAGCUCGGUUUAGGCAUCUGCUUGCCUGUGAACUGUGACAAAGACAUGAAGAGGCAUUUACUUGUUAUCAUCAGCCCAGAGAGAGCCGUUCUGAGAAUGGAAAUGCUAAUCAUCAAUCUCCCAGUGCAUGCAAUGUCUCUGUUUAAUAGCUGAUAGAGCGUCUCCAAAGGGGUUUUUUUUGCUCUUUGUUUAAAAUGACAUAUAAUGGACCUGGACUUAUCAGUGUCUCUAAAUGCAUUUUCUGUGCUUUAUCCUUACUAAGGGAUUUAGUCCAUUCAAAUGAAUAUGUGCAGAAUUGAUUUUGAGCUUGGUAUAAUUUAAUCCAUCAAUUUAACAUUAAAUUAAUAUGCAAAGGGGGUCUCUUUGUGGAUGAAAAACAGAAGGCAAAGAUUCUUAUUAAUUUAAAAUGGACUUGAGAAAUGGAAAGAGGCUGCUGCUAUUAGUAUCUGCCAUUGGGCUCAACCACUGGCUUGUGCAUUACCUAGUGUGAAUACUGCAGCUGUUAAAAUGGCUAUUCAGAGAUCCCCAAAACAUGACAAGCUUAAAACUCAGAAGAAUGUAGUAAUUUCAUUAGGCUUAGAAUUAAAAGGAGGGCUUUCCUAUAACUCUGAAACUGGGCACGCUGCCAUCCUUGUACUAAAGAAACCGUUUUGUACUGAUAAUCUGUUGCGCCAUAUUUGCUGGACCUGAAUUGAAAAGCAUGUGUGGAAUGUAACAUUGAUUAUACAAUUUGAAAUUACAUCAAGCAGCAAGGUUUUAAACAUUGCUUUUAACUGAUUACAGAUAACUUUGAUCUACAGCGAUCUAUUAGAACCCUCCACAAAGAAUUAAUUCAACCAGUGCCAGUAUGAAAAAAAGGGUAAUUAAAAAAAUUGGAACUAAAGGAAGUAGAAGAGGCAUACAUAGUUAGAAAGAGGCACAUAAAAGACAGAAACAAUCCUGAUAAAAGUUGAGCAUUUAUUUGCUUGUUUAAUGGAAAAUUCUUAAACCAAAACAUUGUGAAUUGUGCCCGCUUUUGUGGAGCUACUUUAGAAGAGGAUGUUGAAGGUUUGUCAAAAAAAUGUUCUGCUGGCUUCUUAUAAAUAAUAUA